rnacentral:rRNA from 1 species
CCUACGGGGGGCAGCAGUGAGGAAUAUUGGUCAAUGGACGAGAGUCUGAACCAGCCAAGUAGCGUGAAGGAUGACUGCCCUAUGGGUUGUAAACUUCUUUUAUAUGGGAAUAAAAUGUUCCACGUGUGGGAUUUUGUAUGUACCAUAUGAAUAAGGAUCGGCUAACUCCGUGCCAGCAGCCGCGGUAAUACGGAGGAUCCGAGCGUUAUCCGGGUUUAUUGGGUUUAAAGGGAGCGUAGGUGGAUUGUUAAGUCAGUUGUGAAAGUUUGCGGCUCAACCGUAAAAUUGCAGUUGAAACUGGCAGUCUUGAGUACAGUAGAGGUGGGCGGAAUUCGUGGUGUAGCGGUGAAAUGCUUAGAUAUCACGAAGAACUCCGAUUGCGAAGGCAGUUCACUGGACUGCAACUGACACUGAGGCUCGAAAGUGUGGGUAUCAAACAGGAUUAGAUACCCGAGUAGUC